rnacentral:piRNA from 1 species
AAAAAGCACCUAGAGAUCAACCCUGACC